rnacentral:lncRNA from 1 species
AUAAACAAAUCAUUACAAAUGGAGAUUUAAAGAUUGUUAUAUCGAUAAAUAGGUAUGUGUAAAGCGAAAUAUAUAUUUACUUUUAUUUACUUAGAUAGGUUGAAAAAAAUUUUCCAGACAUAAACCAGUCAAAUUAAGGGUCAAAAUUUUUUUUCCAUACAAAUUCCAGUUAAAACAUGCUUGAAACCCUUAUUUUUUGACCAAUAUCUGUAAAAUUUGGGUCUAUAAAUCCCUGUAAGUUACUUAAUUUAAUAACUCUACAUUCUAUCAUUUAAAAUCUUUGAUUGCCCUGCCAAUCCAGAUGAUUCGCCCUACCAAUCCAGAUGAUUCAUACUUUGGGGGGUGUCACCCCCCCCCCCCGUACCCCCCUCAAGUUUCGUCCCUGUGUACAUCUAACUUUUGUAUGCCUUGAUUAAGCCGUCCCUCCCCCUGGGUCCACAUAGUCUGAGUGCAUAUUUUUGGAAAUACAACAUUUGAAUUUUUCUUAUAUUUUACUAGAAAUUAUGCACAAUAACACAGUAAAUUUUUAGUAAAAUGUUCAAGGAAAAGGAUCUUCCAACAGCAGCAGAUGACACAGCAAAUCUUUAGUAAAAUGUUCAAGGAAAGGAUCUUCCAACAGCAGCAGAUAACACAAUAAAUCUUUACUCUGUCUAACGCUACAAUCCUGGACAAAAAGUGGCAAAAACUAGUUUAUUACUUCAAAAUAUAAUUUUAAGACAUGUUUGUCCCAAUGAUGUCCCCUUCCCCCAAUAUCAAUGUUUGGCCAAGUUAUCUGGCCUCGAAUACACCCAUCAACAUUGAUAUUAGGGGAAGGGGGGUGAAAUUCGAUGAAUUUUCUUAUUUUUUACCCUUUUGCCAAUAAUUUAUGUCCAAGAUUGUAGAUGAUUUUACUCAUCAAGUGGAGUCUUGCAACUUAAUGGGUUAAUGAAUCAGUUGGUUAUUACAACCGAUUUCAACUUGCUUCAUAUUUAACAUUCACUUUAACCCAUUUAUUGACAGCACUCUACCACUGACGAGUAAUUAAUCGUCUGGCAUUAGACAGAGUAAAUACUAUAAGUAGGUACAUUUGGGCACAUUCACAUUGCCAGUUAAUGAGUUAAUAUUGACAACAUUAAAAACAGACUAGGGUGUCAAAGGCUACGUGGAUGCUUCUUUGCCUGCAACAAAGCAUAAAGUGGGACUGCCACGUGAUCAAUGUUAGAUUUCAGCAAUGAAG